GAUGAACGCUGACAGAAUGCUUAACACAUGCAAGUCCACUUGAACUUCGGUUUGGGUGGCGGACGGGUGAGUAACGCGUAAAGAACUUGCCUCACAGAUAGGGACAACAUUUGGAGACGAAUGCUAAUACCUGAUAUUAUGAUUUUAGGGCAUCCUAGGAUUAUGAAAGCUAUAUGCGCUGUGAGAGAGCUUUGCGUCCCAUUAGCUAGUUGGAGAGGUAACGGCUCACCAAGGCGAUGAUGGGUAGCCGGCCUGAGAGGGUGAUCGGCCACAAGGGGACUGAGACACGGCCCUUACUCCUACGGGAGGCAGCAGUGGGGAAUAUUGGACAAUGGACCAAGAGUCUGAUCCAGCAAUUCUGUGUGCACGAUGAAGUUUUUCGGAAUGUAAAGUGCUUUCAGUUGGGAAGAAAAAAAUGACGGUACCAACAGAAGAAGUGACGGCUAAAUACGUG
rnacentral:rRNA from 1 species